rnacentral:rRNA from 1 species
AUGUACCUACAGCAACAAUGGGUUGCCCCACCAAACAUCACUAGAGGACUAGGAAGGAAAACGGUGAUUUCUCAAUCAGGUUCUAUUGGCCGUUCUAGCAUUAGCAUCAUGAAGAUUCUGGAACAGUGCACGACAUGCCCAAUCCCAAGGUAUGCAUCCAUAUCAGCUGCAUCAGGGAGCUCCAUGCACAGUGGUACUACUUCCGAACGUGUAGAACAUGCAAUUUCAUCUACCUGGACGACUUCAAGCGCUAAUAGAGAAAAUGAACAUGGAGAUAUUCUCAUGUCCAUAGUUUCCAGCGAUGAGAAUGGGCUACCCGACAUUGCUCGGCUGCUGAAACUGAGCAAACUUUGUGUAAUGCAAAGCAUCCAGGAUGUGAUCAAUCAUAUGCUGGAGAAUGGCAUUGAGACCUUACUUCACUGGAUAAUGGCAUUUAUAUGCGAUUCCAGUCCUUUCACAGUGCAGUAUUCUCAGGAUAUAUCUGAUUAUGAUGAUGUUCCGUACUGCUCUGGAGCCGGCAACUUUUUGGACUGCUCGAUGUUUAUAACCAAUGAGACUACUUUUUUGGUUGUUGGCUGGAGCUAUCACUAUGACUGA